CAGCAGUGGAUGCCUGGAGUGAGCUAAGCAUCCCCACAGCUUCUCUCUGGUGUGCUCACCCAGAAAACCAAUGCUUUCUAGAGUCCUGGAUGUAGUGCAGAGGAAGAGCACUUGUUCAGCAUGCAAGAGGCCCUGGGUUCAGUACCCAGCACUUCUUCACAGGAGGAAACAAAGAAUGCUUACCAGCACCAUCAGCCAAAAGAAGGUGCCACACCAAAGCAUUGACAAAAGGCUGGAUGUACUGAUGCCUCUAAUCUCUGCGCUUGGAAGACAAAGGAAAGAAGGACCUAAAAUCAAGGCCAGCUGGAGUUGCAAAGUGAAAUCCUUCCCACAAGGAGUAUGCAAAGCAGAGGCAUCACUAGCCUCCCCACAAGGAGACAGUCAACCCAGCAAGAUGGACUCAUGAUUGCGUUCACAAACUCAAGUAUGGUAUGUAUGUGUGUGGGGGGGGUUCUUGGUCCAGGCCUCCUGCUGCCCUUCACUCCUAGUGAACCUGGGUGUCCUUCAGAGACUUGGGUGUAGAAAGGAAAAACAGUACAAAGUAAAUUAUUUAAAUAGAACAUUAUCAUCAAGAAAAUGCUCUCAUCCAAUGACUCUCAGAACCCACAUGCCACCUCAAGGGUUUCUAAACUACAGCAAUUCUAAAAGAUCAUUUCUUUUUGUCUUUGCAAAAGAAAAAGGAAUUACUUUUAAGCUUUUUCAUUUCCUUCUGUUGCUGCUACACGUUUUAGUAUCAAGGCAUAACACACAUAGGGAAGAAUGUCUCAUUCUGUAACCACAGACUUGGGUCACUCCAAAAAAACUCUUGACAAAUGCCCACAUAUUUUUUCAGUCUCCCUGAAAGGGAAGUCAAUGCUUUGAACUUGGCCUAUCAACCUUUUCUUCAGCUCUAGGUCACAAACAGAGUCACAUGCAGUGACUCCUGUGGGCUCUGUGGAGAGUUAUCAUGUAACAGACAUGCAUUUCCUUUUUCUUUAAAGGCUUGCCCUAGUCUACCCACACCUCCCUUUGUUCCUAAUGGUAUUCCUUCGGUCAUCAGCACCAUUUUCUUCCACACUAUAGAGGAGAGUGCCUUUUCUCCAGAUACUUAGCUCAGCAGCAUCAUUUUUCCAAACUGUGGUCAGAGGCUGUAAGCCACUAAAGGUGUUUUUAAGCUGCAGAUUCCUGAACCCCACCUCAAUUACACUAAACUAAUAUGCUUGGGGUGAGACCUGAACACCUGCUCCCCAGAUCAUAUUUAUAUGCAGUACAUCCAAGACAAGAGUGUUGAGUACUAGUUUGGAGGUGGUCUCCCUGGACAUGAGCUUGAAUACACCACCUUUCUCUCCUCGAUCGAAGCUCAUUUUCUCUGUAUUUAAUAUUAUACUAGCAUUCAUAUUCUCAUUAACGGGAACCCUUAUAUUUCGUUCACACCUGUGCAAUAAAGAAAACGGGUCAAGUAGAAGGCCACUCCUUCUAGUCCUAGGCUUUAUGACUGUUCACAUCUUUCCUGGUGUAUGGAUUUUGCCAUUAAAUUUUGGGUCAUUACUAUUUGCUUGUGAAUGAGAAGAUAAUACAUCCUUCUAUCUAGUGACACAAUGAUGCUGCUUUCCUCCCAAGAUUGGAGAAUACACUAAAAUGGCACAAGAAUGCAUUCUGUAUACCUCAGCUUCUUAUGCAGACAAGGAUUAUUAUUGAAGAUUAUGGAAUUUAGGAGAUGAUAAGCAUAGUUAAGGAGGUUAAUUAUAAAUAAAUAUUUUACUUAAAUCAUUGGGCCUUACUUGUUUAAAGGAAGUGCCUCUUCGGUUUUGUUUGUUUGUUUGUUAU